rnacentral:rRNA from 1 species
AAACGACUCUUGACAACGAAUACCUCGGCUCUCGCAUCGAUGAAGAACUUAGCAAAAUGCGAUACCUAUUAUGAAUUGUAGUUUCUUGAACCACUGAGUCUUUGAAUGCAAGUUACGCCCAAAGUCAUUAGGCCGAGGGCACAUCUGCCUGGGAGUCACGCA